rnacentral:rRNA from 1 species
UACUCCUACGGGAGGCAGCAGUGGGGAAUAUUGCACAAUGGGCGCAAGCCUGAUGCAGCAACGCCGCGUGAGGGACGACGGCCUUCGGGUUGUAAACCUCUUUUAGUAGGGAAGAAGCGAAAGUGACGGUACCUGCAGAAAAAGCACCGGCUAACUACGUGCCAGCAGCCGCGGUAAUACGUAGGGUGCGAGCGUUGUCCGGAAUUAUUGGGCGUAAAGAGCUCGUAGGCGGUCUGUCGCGUCUGCUGUGAAAACCCGAGGCUCAACCUCGGGCCUGCAGUGGGUACGGGCAGACUAGAGUGCGGUAGGGGAGAAUGGAAUUCCUGGUGUAGCGGUGGAAUGCGCAGAUAUCAGGAGGAACACCGAUGGCGAAGGCAGUUCUCUGGGCCGUAACUGACGCUGA